GACGUAGGGGGCAAGCGUUGUCCGGAAUUACUGGGCGUAAAGGGCGUGUAGGCGGUGCGGUACGUAGCGGUUUUAAGCCUCCGGCUCACCCGGAGGAGGGCGGCUAAACGGCAGCACUGGAGGGCAGGAGAGGUGCGCGGAAUUCCUGGUGGAGCGGUGAAAUGCGUAGAGAUCAGGAAGAACACCAGUGGCGAAGGCGGCGCACUGGCCUGGCCCUGACGCUGAGGCGCGACAGCGUGGGGAGCAAACGGGAUUAGAUACCCCGGUAGUCCACGCCGUAAACGAUGGAUACUAGGUGUCGCGGGGGUCCACCUCGCGGUGCCGGAGCUAACGCACUAAGUAUCCCGCCUGGGGAGUACGGCCGCAAGGUUGAAACUCAAAGGAAUUGACGGGGGCCCGCACAAGCAGUGGAGCAUGUGGUUUAAUUCGACGCAACGCGCAGAACCUUACCAGGACUAGACGGGAUCGUGAGCGCCGCGAAAGCGGCGGGCCCUUCGGGGAGCGAUCGUCAGGUGCUGCAUGGUUGUCGUCAGCUCGUGUCGUGAGAUGUUGGGUUAAGUCCCGCAACGAGCGCAACCCUUGUCGUGUGUUGCCGGCGGUUCGGCCGGGCACUCACACGAGACUGCCGGUGACAAACCGGAGGAAGGUGGGGAUGACGUCAAAUCCGCAUGGCCUUGAUGUCCUGGGCUACACACGUGCUACAAUGGUCCCGACAACGGGCCGCGACGGCGCGAGCCUGAGCGAAUCCUUCAAACGGGACCUCAGUUCGGAUUGCAGGCUGCAACCCGCCUGCAUGAAGUCGGAAUUGCUAGUAAUCGCCCAUCAGCAUGGGGCGGUGAAUUCGUUCCCGGGCCU
rnacentral:rRNA from 1 species